GCUUCAAACUAAUGAAAUUCAGACCUUUGUUCUGAGAUAGGAAUCUUGCUCAGUGACUGUAUUUGUUUGCUAGGGCUGCCAUAACAAAGAUGGUGGAGAAACACUCCAAGGCAUUCACCCGACAGCCUAGGAGAUGGGCACACAGUUAUCCUCAUGAACGAAAGCCUGACAGUUUGAGCCAGGUGUAGUGGCUCGUGCUUGUAAUUCUAGUGCUUUGGGACACAAAGGUGGGAAGAUCGCUUGAGGCCAGGAGUUUUCAAGACCAGCCUGGGUAACACAGCAAGACACCAUCUCUAAAA
rnacentral:lncRNA from 1 species